rnacentral:rRNA from 1 species
CAGUCGCCACGGUAAAACGGAGGGUGCAAGCGUUAUCCGGAUUCACUGGGUUUAAAGGGUGCGUAGGCGGGCAGGUAAGUCAGUGGUGAAAUCUUCGAGCUUAACUCGGAAACUGCCGUUGAUACUAUCUGUCUUGAAUAACGUUGAGGUGAGCGGAAUAUGUCAUGUAGCGGUGAAAUGCUUAGAUACGACAUAGAACACCGAUUGCGAAGGCAGCUCACUAAACGCUCAUUGACGCUGAGGCACGAAAGCGUGGGGAUCAAACAGGAUUAGAUACCCGCGUAGUCCCUGUCUCUUAUAC